ACCUAGUGGUUAGAGUGGAGGGACGGCAGGUAGACUAGUGGUUAGAGUGGAGGGACGGCAGGUAGACUAGUGGUUAGAGUGGAGGGGCGGCAGGUCACCUAGUGGUUAGAGUGGAGGGACGGCAGGUAGACUAGUGGUUAGAGUGGAGGGACGGCAGGUAGACUAGUGGUUAGAGUGGAGGGGCGGCAGGUCACCUAGUGGUUAGAGUGGAGGGACGGCAGGUAGACUAGUGGUUAGAGUGGAGGGACGGCAGGUAGACUAGUGGUUAGAGUGGAGGGGCGGCAGGUCACCUAGUGGUUAGAGUGGAGGGACGGCAGGUAGACUAGUGGUUAGAGUGGAGGGACGGCAGGUAGACUAGUGGUUAGAGUGGAGGGGCGGCAGGUCACCUAGUGGUUAGAGUGGAGGGACGGCAGGUAGACUAGUGGUUAGAGUGGAGGGACGGCAGGUAGACUAGUGGUUAGAGUGGAGGGGCGGCAGGUCACCUAGUGGUUAGAGUGGAGGGACGGCAGGUAGACUAGUGGUUAGAGUGGAGGGACGGCAGGUAGACUAGUG